AGCGUACACGGUGGAUGCCCUGGCAGUCAGAGGCGAUGAAGGACGUGCUAAUCUGCGAAAAGCGCCGGCGAGGUGAUAUGAACCCUUGACCCGGCGAUGUCCGAAUGGGGAAACCCAGUGCAAUCCGUUGCACUAUCGUUAACUGAAUACAUAGGUUAACGAGGCGAACCGGGGGAACUGAAACAUCUAAGUACCCCGAGGAAAAGAAAUCAACCGAGAUUCCCCCAGUAGCGGCGAGCGAACGGGGAGCAGCCCGGAGUCUGAAUCAGCUUGUGUGUUAGUGGAACGGUCUGGAAAGUCCGACGGUACAGGGUGAUAGUCCCGUACACGAAAAUGCACAUGCUGUGAACUCGAAGAGUAGGGCGGGACACGUGGUAUCCUGUCUGAAUAUGGGGGGACCAUCCUCCAAGGCUAAAUACUCCUGACUGACCGAUAGUGAACCAGUACCGUGAGGGAAAGGCGAAAAGAACCCCGGCGAGGGGAGUGAAAAAGAACCUGAAACCGUGUACGUACAAGCAGUGGGAGCCUCUUUAUGGGGUGACUGCGUACCUUUUGUAUAAUGGGUCAGCGACUUAUAUUCUGUAGCAAGGUUAACCGUAUAGGGGAGCCGAAGGGAAACCGAGUCUUAACUGGGCGUUAAGUUGCAGGGUAUAGACCCGAAACCCGGUGAUCUAGCCAUGGGCAGGUUGAAGGUUGGGUAACACUAACUGGAGGACCGAACCGACUAAUGUUGAAAAAUUAGCGGAUGACCUGUGGCUGGGGGUGAAAGGCCAAUCAAACCGGGAGAUAGCUGGUUCUCCCCGAAAGCUAUUUAGGUAGCGCCUCGUGAACUCAUCUUCGGGGGUAGAGCACUGUUUCGGCUAGGGGGCCAUCCCGGCUUACCAACCCGAUGCAAACUACGAAUACCGAAGAAUGUUAUCACGGGAGACACACGGCGGGUGCUAACGUCCGUCGUGAAGAGGGAAACAACCCAGACCGCCAGCUAAGGUCCCAAAGUCAUGGUUAAGUGGGAAACGAUGUGGGAAGGCACAGACAGCCAGGAUGUUGGCUUAGAAGCAGCCAUCAUUUAAAGAAAGCGUAAUAGCUCACUGGUCGAGUCGGCCUGCGCGGAAGAUGUAACGGGGCUAAACCAUGCACCGAAGCUGCGGCAGCGACGCUUAUGCGUUGUUGGGUAGGGGAGCGUUCUGUAAGCCGUUGAAGGUGUGCUGUGAGGCAUGCUGGAGGUAUCAGAAGUGCGAAUGCUGACAUAAGUAACGAUAAAGCGGGUGAAAAGCCCGCUCGCCGGAAGACCAAGGGUUCCUGUCCAACGUUAAUCGGGGCAGGGUGAGUCGACCCCUAAGGCGAGGCCGAAAGGCGUAGUCGAUGGGAAACAGGUUAAUAUUCCUGUACUUGGUGUUACUGCGAAGGGGGGACGGAGAAGGCUAUGUCAGCCGGGCGACGGUUGUCCCGGUUUAAGCAUGUAGGCGGAGGUUCCAGGUAAAUCCGGUACCUUGUUAACGCUGAGGUGUGAUGACGAGGCACUACGGUGCUGAAGUGAUAAAUGCCCUGCUUCCAGGAAAAGCCUCUAAGCAUCAGGUAACACGAAAUCGUACCCCAAACCGACACAGGUGGUCAGGUAGAGAAUACCAAGGCGCUUGAGAGAACUCGGGUGAAGGAACUAGGCAAAAUGGUGCCGUAACUUCGGGAGAAGGCACGCUGAUGUGUAGGUGAAGCCCCUGCGGGUGGAGCUGAAAUCAGUCGAAGAUACCAGCUGGCUGCAACUGUUUAUUAAAAACACAGCACUGUGCAAACACGAAAGUGGACGUAUACGGUGUGACGCCUGCCCGGUGCCGGAAGGUUAAUUGAUGGGGUUAGCGGCAACGCGAAGCUCUUGAUCGAAGCCCCGGUAAACGGCGGCCGUAACUAUAACGGUCCUAAGGUAGCGAAAUUCCUUGUCGGGUAAGUUCCGACCUGCACGAAUGGCGUAAUGAUGGCCAGGCUGUCUCCACCCGAGACUCAGUGAAAUUGAACUCGCUGUGAAGAUGCAGUGUACCCGCGGCAAGACGGAAAGACCCCGUGAACCUUUACUAUAGCUUGACACUGAACACUGGUCCUUGAUGUGUAGGAUAGGUGGGAGGCUUUGAAGCGUGGACGCCAGUCUGCGUGGAGCCAACCUUGAAAUACCACCCUUUAAUGGCUGGUGUUCUAACGUAGACCCGUAAUCCGGGUUGCGGACAGUGUCUGGUGGGUAGUUUGACUGGGGCGGUCUCCUCCCAAAGAGUAACGGAGGAGCACGAAGGUUGGCUAAUCCUGGUCGGACAUCAGGAGGUUAGUGCAAUGGCAUAAGCCAGCUUGACUGCGAGCGUGACGGCGCGAGCAGGUGCGAAAGCAGGUCAUAGUGAUCCGGUGGUUCUGAAUGGAAGGGCCAUCGCUCAACGGAUAAAAGGUACUCCGGGGAUAACAGGCUGAUACCGCCCAAGAGUUCAUAUCGACGGCGGUGUUUGGCACCUCGAUGUCGGCUCAUCACAUCCUGGGGCUGAAGUAGGUCCCAAGGGUAUGGCUGUUCGCCAUUUAAAGUGGUACGCGAGCUGGGUUUAGAACGUCGUGAGACAGUUCGGUCCCUAUCUGCCGUGGGCGCUGGAGAAUUGAGGGGGGCUGCUCCUAGUACGAGAGGACCGGAGUGGACGCAUCACUGGUGUUCGGGUUGUCAUGCCAAUGGCACUGCCCGGUAGCUAAAUGCGGAAGAGAUAAGUGCUGAAAGCAUCUAAGCACGAAACUUGCCCCGAGAUGAGUUCU
rnacentral:rRNA from 1 species